CACUCCUGCGGGAGGCAGCAGUGGGGAAUUUUGGACAAUGGGCGAAAGCCUGAUCCAGCAAUGCCGCGUGAGUGAAGAAGGCCUUCGGGUUGUAAAGCUCUUUUGUCAGGGAAGAAACGGUGAAAGCUAAUAUCUUUUGCUAAUGACGGUACCUGAAGAAUAAGCACCGGCUAACUACGUGCCAGCAGCCGCGGUAAUACGUAGGGUGCAAGCGUUAAUCGGAAUUACUGGGCGUAAAGCGUGCGCAGGCGGUUUUGUAAGUCUGAUGUGAAAUCCCCGGGCUCAACCUGGGAAUUGCAUUGGAGACUGCAAGGCUAGAAUCUGGCAGAGGGGGGUAGAAUUCCACGUGUAGCAGUGAAAUGCGUAGAUAUGUGGAGGAACACCGAUGGCGAAGGCAGCCCCCUGGGUCAAGAUUGACGCUCAUGCACGAAAGCGUGGGGAGCAAACAGGAUUAGAAACCCGUGUAGUCCCAU
rnacentral:rRNA from 1 species